rnacentral:tRNA from 1 species
GGACGCGUGCCCGAAUAUCAAGGACUACUUUGAUAGAGUACACCAUAGGGGUUAAACUCCCCUCGCCUCCU